rnacentral:lncRNA from 1 species
CCCAGCCCCCCGAGCACAUCUGCCUCUCCACACCCAGUUGCGCCCAGCGUGACUAAAGCUUUCGGUAGUUUACGAAGGGAGUAUGAAUCCUCGCUGACUCAAAGCAACAGGACACAGUAGCCUGCUCGGCAAGCCCCACAGGCAGGCAGGUGGGGAGACCCCAGCGGCAUCGCUCAGCCUCGGGGCAGGGGGCCUGAGGAUUCUACAGCAGGGGCCUGGGGGGUCCAGGCCGGUCCUGCGUCCCUGUGACCCUCCAGGCGUGUGUCCCACUCUAGGACUGUAAUCUGUCCACGCUGCUAUGACAGAACACCGCAGCCUGUUGGCUUAUAAACAGCAGGCACCGAUUGCUUACAGUUCUGGAGACUAGAAGUCCCACAUCAGGGUGCCAGCGUGGCCGGCCGGUGGGAACCGGAGCCAGAGCACCAUCUGCUGGCCUGGCCGGGGUUCCUGGGGGCAACUCCCUGGCUGGGGAAGGGGAGGGGCCAGGGUGGGCACUCCCUCGGGCAUCUCCUUUCCUAGAUAAGAUUUCUAGGACUCCCUCAAAGAGCCAACCUGAGCAGAGGACAGGGACAGACCCACCCUGCCUGCGCUCUCCCUCUGAGUGACCCUGAGAGAUGGGCUCUGGACUCGCUGGAGGCCCCUGUGGGUGCAGGCACCACAGGCCUCGGUCCCUCUGUCUGUGACAUUGAGGUCAGUCCAAGAGGCCUAAUGUUGUCCUGGAGGGUCACUGUCUCCCAGCCAAAAUGCUACGGUGGCUCCGCCUCAGACUCGGGGAAGUGUUGCCUGGCCCGGGGAGCCCCAGGAACGGCCUGAGUUGUGGGGCAUCGCUGUGGGGCCUGCAAAUGAGAAAGCCACUCGAGGGACAGGAUAAAUGGCUGCCCAGGAUGUGUAGUGGUGACACCUUUGAUAAAAGCGUCACCUGUAACAAGGCCACGGCCAAAGACCACCAGGAGACACCUGUCACCAGCAAGCUCGGGGUUUAUUACUCACUGCAGCCCACAUCUGGGGGAGCUGGGCAGAAGGAGGCAUCUCAGGAGUGACUCCUUAUAGCAUCUGGGCAGGUGGGAGGUGACCCAGGGCAGAGACCAAGGAGGCAGGCAUUUGCUCUGGGUUGGGGGUUGUCAAGAGUGAGGCAGUUAGAUGACAGCAUCUCCAUCAUCUCUAUCGGGAAGGGGGCUAGGGGGAAGCGGGGCUGGAGCUGUUGCGGGGCAACACGACGGGGUCGUCCAGGUGGGCUGGGGUGGGGAUGCUGGGGCACAGUCGCAGGUGCUAGCUGGGGACCAGGCUGGAGGGCCAGUGCCUGUGACGGUGGGGAAGGCUGCUCCUCUCUCAGUGCCCCCUUCUGUCUAGCGGCAUGUGGGAGCCGAGGAAACAGACACCUGUGAUGUCACAGCUGUGCUUUCUCGUAAUCCUGCCUUCUCGCAAGGUCAUCUGUAGAACCGUGUCUGUCGUUGGACCAGAGGGAGUGAGUUCUGCCCUUUUGGGGUAGGAGGAGCCGGGGGGUCAUUGAACUGCACGUCUGCAGCACAGGCAAUCAUCAGAAACAAGAAGACUGCCAGUCCUUGUCGCAGCCAUGGACCUGGGGUCUACGUCAGCGGUCAGCAGACUGUUUCCACAAAGGCCAGAAGUUAACACUUUCAGCCUCCUUUGCAACUCGUCAGCUCUGCUGUGGUCGUGUGAGGACAAGCGGAGACGCCGUGGAGAUGCGCAGGCAAGGAGUGUGUCCCAAGGAAGCUUUAUUCACAAAGGCGGCAGCAGGCUGCAUUCGCGGGGCUUGCUGCCCCCGAUCUGCGUGUCCACGUGCAGCUGGCGCUGUCCUGGAGGCAGGGGCGGCUUUUCCCUUUAGCCUGUGCAUGGACCGUCCUCCAGCUGCUGGAUCUGUGCCCUGCAGCUUGAAUUCUUCGCUGCAGCCCGGAUUCCCCCUGGGCCAGCUGAGAGGAAGGCGGGCUCCACUUUGUCCCACAGCUCGGCCAGAUUUAGGGAGGCUUGUCAAGCUCCAACUUUCUAAGGUUGAAGGUUGUGAUGAACAUACGAGGGCACUCUAAGUGCCAAGGGUGGCCUGGGGCUGGAAAUCUACCCUUUACAGUGUUUAAAGGAACAGCUAUUAAGUGUUUGUCAGCGGGUUCCAAGGAUAAUCACAGGCAAGAUUAGAAAGAAGGCGACAGAAAAUCCAAGGAUCCGGCCACAGGGGAAACCUGUGCCGUCAUCCUGGGGGCCACUGCCUGGAGAGGGUCAGCAAGGGGACUAAUGGGACAAACUGGGAGGUGGUCAAGGGUUCCUCUGGCCUCUGUGCUUCGUGGGCCGUGGACCCCACAAAUCUGUUACUCCGCCCGGGGACGAGCUGACUGCUCAGCGCUUGCACGUCCUGUCUCCCGCCUGGGGACCACCAAGCAGGACACGAGUUCAGAUGUGAGUGUCUGUGCGACAUGGAGGCUUUGAGCAGUGGUGUCUCCUGAUCUUGCAUUUUUUACGAGGUUAGUCUGGCCGCACGGUUGCAACAGUGAGAGGGGGCAGGCAGACGGAGCGUGACACUGUGGUCAACAUCCCAAGGCGCCCAGAGCUGGUGGACACGAGUAGAACAUGCCAGGGGCACUGCUUGGUUCCAGGUCUCCAUUCCUGGCCUAGCAAGGGGCUGCCUGUGCCUCCAUCCCUGGGAGGCCAGGCUGUCCUUGUUUGGUAAACAUGUGGAACAUGCGAAAAGAAGGAAGCAGGUGCAGAGAGAGGCUUGGGGGCGAAGUGGCGGUGUUGGUGGUGAGCACGCUGACGAGCAAUGCACACCACGCUCUUGUGGGGGCCGGCAUUGCGGCAGCUCCCAGGGAAGUAACACCAUGGGGGAGGCCUUGCCAGCACCUCCCAAGUCACAUCACUGACUGCAAUUGUUCUCCUUGCGGAGGGGCCCAGCUGCGCAGGAAUGGAGGGCAGAAACCAGCAGGGAAGUCCAGGCUUCCAAGUGGAAUAAGGGCCGAGCCGGAAUGACAGACCCCACAAGUGGCGGGCGGGAACGGCCUCUGCGGGACUCCGUCCUGGCUGGCAUGACUCAGGGCCGAGCUCUCAGCCGCCUCCUGGGCCCAGAAGGAUGGGUGACCAUCUGGCUCAGGAAGCGAGUGUCUCCGCGUCUCUUCUGGGAGUGGGGGAUACAGGGCGACGCCUUCUCUGCUUCCGGGUGCGAGGCCCACAAAGGGGGUGGCCACAGGCAGAACCACUACUUCCCACAGGCAGGGAUGAAGCGGUUUCUGAGCAGACCCAAGGGGUCAGCACAGGCGCCCCCACAGUCCUGGAGGGGCUGCAGCUGUUCUCUCUCACGGGCAGGGUGAGAGUCCCUCCCGGGGGCCUCCACACGACACUCACCCCAGGGAGGACACGGCAGACCCGUCCCCCGAGAGCAGAGCCCUGCUCAGCCGGCUGUGCCUCCAGCUGGACACUUUCAGUGAGCCACGUGGAUGGUCACCGGGCAUUGUCUGGUGCUGGACACUGUGUCGUGCCCUCUACAUGGCGAGCGACCUCGCCACCUCAUGGGGCUGUGAAAAGUCCCUCUGGAUUACAGGUGGAAGAAGCCCCCGUGUCCGCCUCAUUUGGAGGCAACAGUCCCUGUCGGUUAUUCAGGGUUGUUGGGAAGGAGGCCGGCCAUCCUCCCAGUGGUGUGGACUUUCGUCCCUGGUGGUGACACCUCUGACAGUGUCCUGAGGAUCCAAGGACAGCUGGACACCCAUGACUGCGUUCAAGUCCCUCAGCGGCCCUACCUGACCCGUGGGCAGCGAUGAGAGGGCCUCAGCUGAGCAGGGUCCAUGGUCAAGCCAUGCAGGUGGGCCCUCAGUGUGGGCUGGUGUCUCUGGCCCUGCCCUGCCCUGCAGAGUUCUAAACUGCCCACCAAUGGCAGUUGCAACUGUCACUGGGCGUGGCCAGGCAGUGGCUGAGGACAAAGGUGGCCAGGGAGGGGGUCAGGGGUGACAAUUUGCCUUCUGACAUCCCUUCCAAACCCAGGGCCAGACUUGUGAGCAGGGGGGGGUGGUCAGGGGUCCUGGGAGAUGUUUGUCACCUUCAUGAUUUGCCGAAUGCAGGCCUGGCUGAAGUGACAGGUUUGACCUGUGACAAAUAAAUGGCAAGCAAUAGGAGAUUGGAGUAUAUGAGGAAAGCAUUUGGUAUAAACCUAAUUCAGCCUGACUUUGUUUUUCCAAAAGGGCCUGGCGUGGCCGAUGAGCAUGCAUUGUACAUCUGCUUAAGCAUUUGCUGUGUCCCAAAGGCAAGAACAAAUGCCCUUAAGAUGAAGGUGCAACUUCCCCGACAUUUGCAUUUCCUUAAGGGUAAGCAUCUCUCCUCAGGCUAGGAACUAAUUGCUGCACUCAUCCUGUGAUCACCCAGCUCCAGACAACAGACCUGCCACCCUGCUGUGUCCACUGAGACAGCGCCCUACAACUUGCUGUGUCCAUCCAUUGCUGUGCUGACAGAACAGUCUCGUCACUGCUGUAAAGGGGACAUUUCCUUCAUAUGUGAAACAUGCUCUUUGAGGGUAUAUAACCACUCUGUACACCCCACUUCUUGGGUACUCAUCCUUCCUUGGGGAUGGAAGACCUCGGGCUACAUGGUCCUCAUAUUUGUCUCAGAAUAAACUCACCUCAAUUUUCAUUUA